GUGCUCUGGUUUCUCUUCAGAACGAAGAAAUCGUUCACCUUUUACUAAGGAUUUUCGUGGCGAGGAACAGUUAUGAGUUAAUAACCAAAUUUCUUGAGGACUUGUUUACGCAAGGCU
ensembl:snRNA U5 U5 spliceosomal RNA